UACGGAGGGUGCAAGCGUUAUCCGGAUUCACUGGGCUUAAAGGGUGCGUAGGUGGGUUGGUAAGUCAGUGGUGAAAUCUCCGUGCUUAACAUGGAAACUGCCAUUGAUACUACUGAUCUUGAAUUUUCAGGAGGUAAGCGGAAUAUGUCAUGUAGCGGUGAAAUGCUUAGAUAUGACAUAGAACACCAAUUGCGAAGGCAGCUUACUGCAGGAACAUUGACGCUGAUGCGCGAAAGCGUGGGGAUCAAACAGG
rnacentral:rRNA from 1 species